AUUGAACGCUGGCGGUAUGCUUAACACAUGCAAGUCGAACGAUGAAGCCGGAGCUUGCUCUGGUGAAUUAGUGGCGAACGGGUGAGUAACACGCGGGUAACCUGCCCAUAAGACUGGGAUAACUCCGGGAAACCGGGGCUAAUAUCGGAUAACAUUUUGAACCGCAUGGUUAGAAAUUGAAAGGCGGCUUCGGCUGCCACUUAUGGAUGGACCCGCGUCGCUUUAGCUAGUUGGUGAGGUAACGGCUCACCAAGGCAACGAUGCGUAGCCGACCUGAGAGGGUGAUCGGCCACACUGGGACUGAGACACGGCCCAGACUCCUACGGGAGGCAGCAGUAGGGAAUCUUCAGCAAUGGACGAAAGUCUGACGGAGCAACGCCGCGUGAGUGAUGAAGGCUUUCGGGUCGUAAAACUCUGUUGCUAGGGAAGAACAAGUGCUAGUUGAAUAAGCUGGCACCUUGACGGUACCUAACCAGAAAGCCACGGCUAACUACGUGCCAGCAGCCGCUGUAACAC
rnacentral:rRNA from 1 species